rnacentral:tRNA from 1 species
UCCCUGGUGGUCCAGUGGCUAAGACUCUGCAUUCACAAUGCAGAGCACCCAGGUUCAAUUCCUGAUCAGUAAA